CUGGCAGAUUCUUCCAAAAGCGCCACAAAUGGCGUCUAUCCCUUUGAGUGAAGCGACGUCAUUUUUGGCAGCCCUAAAAAACAUGCUUUUCUAUCAUCAAAGCUGUAAAGAGUAAGAAAUACCACAUUGUCUUCAUGGAUCAGCAACUGGAUAUCCCACCGAUUAUAAGUCACCAAGACUUGCUGCCAAAGUCAUUACAGCAACAUUCGAGCCAAGAAGUCCAAACAUCAUUUAAAAAUAUGCACAUGAAUGCUGUUAAGUUAGAUGAUAACUUAAAUAAAGCCCUGCAACAAA